CACCUGGCCAAAAUCCUUUUCUAUUCUUCUUGAACCUUUCUCCUAAAGCUCCUGUUUCACUACUACCACCUUGGAAGGUCACCUGUGCUCCUUGAUUACUUUCUUCUAGAAUAGCUAUCUCAACCCUCAACGCUGCCUCAACCAACAUACCGAAAUUUGAUGCCCAUGAGCAGUAACCAUAGGCCGAAUCUCUGCUUUCAAUCCUUGCUCGAACCGUCUACACCUAUCUCUCUCUUCAGCAACCAAGGCACCUGCAUACUUAGAUAGUUCUACAAACCUUACAUGAUAUUCAGCAACGACAUAGACCCCUGGACCAAUCUUAAAAAUUCAUUUUGUUUUGCAUCACAAUAAAAUGGAAGAUAGUAUGUUUCAUAAAAAGCUUCCUUGAAAAUGGUCCAGGUGACAAUACUAGGAUCUGGAUACCGACUUCAAAACGAAACCCACCAGUCAGCAGCUCAUCCCUUCAAUAAAAAUAGAGCAAUGCGUAAUUUUUUAUCCUCUAAGCAUUCUAUCACAUCAAAUAUACUUUCCAAAGUCUACAUCCAAAGUUCAACAUCAACUGGAUUAGAUGUACCCAUAAAAAAUUUCGCCCUGAGUUUCAUCGCUCUCUCAAUAGAGUUAUCUCUAUCUGUAUUGGGUAGAAAGGAAGCAAUAGCUGUAGCUAUUCUAUCGGUGACAGGGUCAUGUUGCACUUGAUAUUGGUGAACUGAUUCUGCGGCCCCACUGGCCCCUCCAUCAUGUCUUCCUUCAGGAGCAUCAUGAGCUUAAGAUACCGGAUUUUGAUGCCUGCGAGUUCUGCCCCUACCACGCAUGACUCACCUA
rnacentral:lncRNA from 1 species